AAAAAGAAAUAACAAAAACAGCUUUGCUUUGACACUGUGAUAACCCACAACUCUAUAAGCAUUAAAUUAAGGGUAAAUUAUAUACAGUAGCCGUUGACCCACUUUUAUUUUCUGAUUUUGACAUUGUGGGCUGGGCCUUUCAAUUCUUAACCUUUCAGCCAAAAACUAACCAAAAUGCCCUUGACGCUUCCUGACCGGGUUUGGACGUACGGACUGCGUCGUUGGAAUCCAAUUGAAGCGUACACUGUUCACCGACGGGAAGUGCAUUAAAUGUUUUCUGGGUUUCGGCGAAUUUGACACUGUAACUUGGAAUUAAAAUUUUU
rnacentral:sRNA from 1 species